GAUGAACGCUGGCGGCGUGCCUAAUACAUGCAAGUCGAGCGAACAGACGAGGAGCUUGCUCCUCUGACAUUAGCGGCGGACGGGUGAGUAACACGUGGAUAACCUACCUAUAAGACUGGGAUAACUUCGGGAAACCGGAGCUAAUACCGGAUAAUAUAUUGAACCGCAUGGUUCAAUAGUGAAAGACGGUUUUGCUGCCACUUAUAGAUGGAUCCGCGCCGCAUUAGCUAGUUGGUAAGGUAACGGCUUACCAAGGCAACGAUGCGUAGCCGACCUGAGAGGGUGAUCGGCCACACUGGAACUGAGACACGGUCCAGACUCCUACGGGAGGCAGCAGUAGGGAAUCUUCCGCAAUGGGCGAAAGCUUGACGGAGCAACGCCGCGUGAGUGAUGAAGGUCUUCGGAUCGUAAAACUCUGUUAUUAGGGAAGAACAAAUGUGUAAGUAACUAUGCACGUCUUGACGGUACCUAAUCAGAAAGCCACGGCUAACUACGUG
rnacentral:rRNA from 1 species